UCUCCGUAGGUGAACCUGCGGAGGGAUCAUUACUGAGUGAGGGCUUCGGUCCGACCUCCAACCCUUUUGUGAACCACCUCGUUGCUUCGGGGGCGACCCUGCCGUUUCGACGGCGAGCGCCCCCGGAGGCCUUCAAACCCUGCGUAACUGAGUCGUCGGAGUUUAAACAAAUUAAACAAAACUUUCAACAACGGAUCUCUUGGUUCGGGCAUCGAUGAAGAACGCAGC
rnacentral:misc_RNA from 1 species